rnacentral:rRNA from 1 species
UACGUAGGUGGCAAGCGUUGUCCGGCUUUACUGGGCGUAAAGGGCGCGUAGGUGGCUAUUUAAGUGGGAUGUGAAAUACUCGGGCUUAACCUGGGUGCUGCAUUCCAAACUGAAUAUCUAGAGUGCAGGAGAGGAAAGUAGAAUUCCUAGUGUAGCGGUGAAAUGCGUAGAGAUUAGGAAGAAUACCAGUGGCGAAGGCGACUUUCUGGACUGUAACUGACACUGAGGCUCGAAAGCGUGGGGAGCAAACAGG